AUUGAACGCUGGCGGCAGGCCUAACACAUGCAAGUCGAACGAGUGGCGGAGGGGUGAGUAAUGUGUGGGAAACUGCCUGAUGGGGGGGGAUAACUACUGGAAACGGUAGCAAAUAGCGUAUACCCUCGGAUGUGCCCAGAUGGGAUUAGCUAGUAGGUGGGGUAACGGCUCACCGAGGCGACGCUCCCUAGCUGGUCUGGGAGGAUGACCAGCCACACGGGAACUGAGACACGGUCCAGACUCCUACGGGAGGCAGCAGUGGGGAAUAUUGCACAAUGGGCGCAAGCCUGAUGCAGCCAUGCCGCGUGUAUGAAGAAGGCCUUCGGGUUGUAAAGUACUUUCAGCGAGGAGGCGUUACCCGCAGAAGAAGCACCGGCUAACUCCGUGCCAGCCGCCGCGGUAAUUC
rnacentral:rRNA from 1 species